rnacentral:rRNA from 1 species
AUUGAACGCUGGCGGCAGGCCUAACACAUGCAAGUCGAGCGAGCGGCGGACGGGUGUGUAAUGUAUGGGGACUCCCCGAUAGAGGGGGAUAACUACUGGAAACGGUAGCUAAUACAGCAUACUAUCGGAUAACCCAUAUGGGAUUAGCUAGUAGGUGAGGUAAUGGCCCACCUAGGCGACGAUCUCUAGCUUGUCUGAGAGGAUGAACAGCCACACUGGGACUGGGACACGGCCCAGACGCCUACGGAGGCAGCAGUGGGGAAUCUUGCACAGUGGGCACAAGCCUGAUGCAGCCAUGCCGCGUGUAUGAAGAGGGCCCUAGGGUUGUAAAGUACUUUCAGUCGGGGGGCGUUACCGACAGAAGAAGCACCGGCUAACUCCGUGCCAGCCGCCGCGGUAAUUC